AAAUGGUUCCCAGUUCUGCUUCUCCCCCUGUUCUCAGAAACCCGGGCUUCCUCGCUGUGGGGCGGCUGGCCACUGACCUGCCCGGAGCCAGGCAGCGCAGGGAGCCUCCGAAAUAGGUAGAAAACGCCCAAUGGAAAUGUCCUUUUGACUUGUUCCGAAGCAAAAGGGGGUGCUCCUGCUCCCCGGAAAGCUCCAGCUUUGGGCCUUUCUGACUCUUGUGGGAGAUCCCGAGGAAGGAGAUUCGGGUUUCCAGCCGGCUCUGUGAACCGGGGCUGAACAGGGCGGUGGCGGGACCUGCCCAAACCCGGCAAGCUCAGGAAGGAUGGGCCAAGUCCAUGGAUAAGCAGGAUCUCCACUUGGGACAGUUCAUACUGGAGGGGAGGUUCAGCGUCUGGCCUGGGGGUUUAAGCCCAUCGCUGUCUGCUAGCCCGUAGGCUGAUCCCUAACGAGGGGGGCAGCUUGUCUCCCAUCUGCACCUGUGGCGUCCUUGCACCUUCUUCUGCAGCACCUGGGGCUGCCGCUUCAGAGCCAGGGGCCCAGGCGAGCUGGACCUUGGCUCUGACCCUCUCUGCCUGUUCCUCUGUUACCCGCCCCAGGCAAAUGGCUUAGAAACUAAACAGGUGACGGGAGCGACCCCUUCCCAGCGCUGUUGGCUCCUGCGUGUCUCGUCUGAGCAGGCUGGGGAGAGGGCUAGUCUCUGCCGCUGUGCUCCCUCGGCCGCUCUGGGGAAGCCUGUGAUGGGCACCCGCUGCUGGCUGGAGCCUGCCCUCUCCAGGCGCUGGGUGGCUUGGUCCCUCCUGGCUCAGGAGCGCCCAGUGCUCGCAGCUCCUGGGAAGCGGGCGGCAGAACUGAGAGCCUGCAGCACCUCUGCUCUGCUCGUGGCCAGGCUCAGCUGUCCUGACCCGGCGUUCCUGAUCUCAGAAAAGCUCCUGGGCGUGGAGGAGCGUGUGCGCCGGCGGCCGCUGGACGGGGGGCCGCUGUCCGUGGAGUGGGUGCAGCAGACAGACAGUGUGCUGGUGCAGAGCCGGGGCGCCGGGCUGAGCAAGGACCUGCUGGAGCUCUACUUUGAGAACAAGCGGAGCGGUG
rnacentral:lncRNA from 1 species